rnacentral:rRNA from 1 species
AGAGUUUGAUCCUGGCUCAGAACGUACGCUGGCGGCACGCCUAACACAUGCAAGUCGAACGAAGUAGCAAUACUUAGUGGCGAACGGGUGAGUAUAAUAUGGGUAUCUGCCUUUUGGUUUGGAAUAACACGAGGAAACUUGUGCUAAUACCAGAUAAGCCUUUACAGGGAAAGCUUUAGCGCCAAUAGAUGAGCCCAUACUUGAUUAGCUAGUUGGUAAGGUAAUGGCUUACCAAGGCUACGAUCAAUAGCUGAUCUGAGAGGAUGAUCAGCCACAUUGGGACUGAGACACGGCCCAAACUCCUACGGGAGGCAGCAGUGGGGAAUCUUGCACAAUGGGGGAAACCCUGAUGCAGCGAUGCCGCGUGAGUGAAGAAGGCCUUUGGGUUGUAAAGCUCUUUCGUCGGGGAAGAAAAUGACUGUACCCGAAUAAGAAGGUCCGGCUAACUUCGUGCCAGCAGCCGCGGUAAUACGAAGGGACCUAGCGUAGUUCGGAAUUACUGGGCUUAAAGAGCACGUAGGUGGUUAGAAAAGUUGGUGGUGAAAUCCCAAGGCUUAACCUUGGAACUGCCACCAAAACUUUUUAACUAGAGUAUGAUAGAGGUAAGUGGAAUUUCUAGUGUAGAGGUGAAAUUCGUAGAUAUUAGAAAGAACACCAAUUGCGAAGGCAACUUUCUGGAUCAUUACUGACACUGAGGUGCGAAAGCAUGGGUAGCGAAGAGGAUUAGAUACCCUCGUAGUCCAUGCCGUAAACGAUGUGUGUUAGACGUUGGAAAUUUAGUUUUCAGUGUCGCAGCGAAAGCGUUAAGCACACCGCCUGGGGAGUACGACCGCAAGGUUAAAACUCAAAUGAAUUGACGGGGACCCGCACAAGCAGUGGAGCAUGUGGUUUAAUUCGAAGAUACGCGCAGAACCUUACCAACACUUGACAUGUUCGUCGCGAACCUAAGAGAUUAGGUUUUCAUUAAGUUGGACGAAACACAGGUGCUGCAUGGCUGUCGUCAGCUCGUGUCGUGAGAUGUUGGGUUAAGUCCCGCAACGAGCGCAACCCUUACUUUUAGUUGCCACCAUUUAGUUGAGCACUCUAAAAGAACUGCCAGUGAUAAGCUGGAGGAAGGUGGGGAUGACGUCAAGUCCUCAUGGCCCUUACGUGUUGGGCUACACACGUGCUACAAUGGCACUUACAAUGAGAUGCAAAGAGGCGACUCCUAGCUAAUCUCAAAAAGGUGCCUCAGUUCGGAUUGUACUCUGCAACUCGAGUACAUGAAGCUGGAAUUGCUAGUAAUCGCGGAUCAGCGCGCCGCGGUGAAUACGUUCCCGGGUCUUGUACACACCGCCCGUCACACCAUGGGAGUGGGUUGCACCAGAAGUGGCUAGUCUAACUUUGUGAGGACGGUCACCACGGUGUGAUUCAUGACUGGGGUAAAGUCGUAACAAGGUAACC